AGCUCAGUCGGUAGAGCGCUGGACUGUCACUCCGGCGGACCGGGUUCGAUCCCCGGA
rnacentral:tRNA from 2 species